CAUAGCCAGAUGUCACACGCAGAGAACUAAGGUAUAUAAACCCAGAACAUUCAGGAGAGAACACACACAACGAUUGCGGUCAUUGGUCAACUGGUCAAAACUGGCCAAUCUUAGAGAAAGAAGAGAGAUACCGCCGCAAAGAAGUUCUACAAAGAGAUUCUGUGAAUGUAUUAUUCAAGAGAGAUGUUAUCCAGAAAGUUUGGGAGUAAAUUGGAUCCAACAUAUGAGAAGAACUUCUCACGUGGUUUAGCUUGACGUAGUUUGUGUGAAAGAAUGUUCAUCAAAGUUCCUCAAUAUUCUCUGGCGAAGAUAAGUUCAAUACCUUGCAACGUUCAUUUUCUAAAACAGACGAGACCCAGAAUAUAAAAUGAAUGGGUAAUUCUCUUCUCAGUUGAAGAUUUGUAGUAAAGUUCUAAUCUGAAAAGAAUACGAUGUUCCUGAAGUUCCUAUUGUUCUAUGAAGCUCCAACGACAAAAGCUUGGCAGAGUUCAGCUAUCUAUCUUGUUUAUUGAAAAUAUUCAAAAUCACAAAAAAUCGUAAAUUUAUUACAAAUUAAAAUUUAAAAAAUAUAAAAAUUUUAUCAGUAAGCAUUGCUCUAUGAAGUUCAUUUGUUAAUUUACAACUCAAAUUCCUCGAAGUUCCCAAUUAAGUACAAAUUAAUACUCAAAACUAAAAAAAAGAAAAAACUCAAAAAAUCUAAUAAAUAUAUUUUGUAUCUCAUAUGAGUUCAAAUUCCUACUAAGAUAACUUCAACAAAAUUCCUUCAUUUUUUCGAGUUCCAACUAUUUUGCAGUAUUAACUAUAUUUUUUCCGUUCAAUCCAAUUGUUUUUUGCAAUAAUAUUUCCCAGUGAUUCUAUAAAAAAGUAAAACUCAAAAAAUAUACAAAAAAGUGCAAAAAUAGUGUUUUGUAUUUUUUUUAGAUGUUUUUGCACUUAUUCAAACCACCUUUUCUUCAUUUUAUAUUUUCUGUCGUUGUGCUUAUACAUUCAUCAAAUACUGAAGAUACACUGGUCAUAUACAUCUUAGAAAAUUUGAGAAAAUAAUUUUGAACAUUUGGCAAUGUGCAAUUUUAUGUAUAUUUAUUGCUGGUCUGUUCAUUGUAUUAUAAGUUCCUCAAAGCAGUAAAAGAGUAGGAGAAUGUUUCACCAGCUUGCUUUAUGUUAAUCAGUCUUGUAAAUACUGUGUCUAAAGUUGGAGGUUUUUUAUGUAAGUUUAUUUUAAUUUUAGGUGUACUAAUUUGUAGAUGUACAAAUUAUGGGACACUAAUUUCUCUUUUCUUUUUUAUUUACAUUACGUAUCGUAGCACUGUGGCCCUCGACCAAAAAAAUAUUAUAAAAAUGUAAAAAUAUGAAAAAUUCAUGAUAAUAAUAAUUAAUUCGUGUAUAUUAAAAAACUUUCCUUAAUACUGUGAAUGCUUUGCUUCAAUUGUGUAAACAUAAUAUUGUAAUUGUAUAUAUUAAUAUUAUUAUUUGUCUAUAAUAUUUCGCGUGUUAGUGUUAAGGGACAGCGUGCAAUUCAAACAAAAAUAUUUUUUUUUUGUGUGUAAAACUCGUUCUGUGUAUUCAUAUUCACGUGUGCGAUGCAAUAAAAUAUGUUAAAAAUCAG